CCUACGGGUGGCAGCAGUGAGGAAUAUUGGUCAAUGGACGAGAGUCUGAACCAGCCAAGCCGCGUGAAGGAUGACUGCCCUAUGGGUUGUAAACUUCUUUUAUAUGGGAAUAAAACAGGGUAUGCAUACCCUCUUGUAUGUACCAUAUGAAUAAGGAUCGGCUAACUCCGUGCCAGCAGCCGCGGUAAUACGGAGGAUCCGAGCGUUAUCCGGAUUUAUUGGGGUUAAAGGGCGCGUAGGUGGAUUGGUAAGUCAGUUGUGAAAGCUUGCGGCUCAACCGUAAAAUUGCAGUUGAAACUGGCAGUCUGGAGUACGGGAGAGGGGGGCGGAAUUCGUGGUGUAGCGGUGAAAUGCUUAGAUAUCGCGAAGAACUCCGAUUGCGAAGGCAGCUCACUGGACUGCAACUGACACUGAGGCACGAAAGUGUGGGUAUCAAACAGGAUUAGAUACCCGGGUAGUC
rnacentral:rRNA from 1 species